rnacentral:tRNA from 1 species
GGCCGAGUAGCUCAGUUGGUUAGAGCGUCGUGCUGAUAACGCGAAGGUCGAGGGGUUCGAGCCCCUCCCCGGCCA